GAUCCUCUGCCAUUCAAACAAAGGUCCCUGUCCCCUCAACACAAAAAGAUGGACAGCAGACAUAGGACAGAGAAACCCUCAUCCUUAGGCACAGUUCUACAUUUGGAAGCCACUGUGGCAUUGGAAGAUGCUGGCCAGACAUUGAGCCUCAGAUCCCUCAACUGGGAGCAUCCCACAUGGAACCACUGGUAGUAGACACGAGUCUAAACCAAAGCAGACACAACAUUAUCAAGAGAAACCCCAAGAGAGCUAUUCCCUUCAUUGCUGCAUUUAUAGCUCCAUUUAGAGCAUAGAGAAACCCAAGUUUCAGUCCCAUUCCU